rnacentral:lncRNA from 1 species
CUUCCUUGUAUCUAGAGCGUUUAUGCUUUUAAAGAGCCUGGCGAUCUGAGUACGGAAGUGAGGUACAUCAUUGAAACGGUGAGGUCUAGUGAUUUUCACGGCCCCGGGGUGAGGUUCUAUCACGCGGACGAGCAUUCAAAAGAAAAAGGAGCCUGCCAUCACCAGCGAGGCUGACUGACUCUGUCCUCCACCAGCAUCCGCCUUGGAUUUUCAUGUCUUCAUGAAAGCUCCAUCCCUUCCCCCGCUGCUCUUGCU